GCAGCCUCUCUGCCCUUUUGGGUAGGGGUAAGGCUGUGUACAUAUUACCUUCCCCAGACCCCACCUGGUGGGAGUAUACUGGGUAGUUGUUGUUGUUGUUGUUGUUGUUAUAGGCUGGUUGUCUCACUGUUUUGUUAUUCAGGGCUAGUGCACUAAGACGGCGACGUUGGCUAUGAUGGGAAUGCCAUGGAUUUAGUGGUGAGGUUUGACGGAUUAUGUUCCCAAUAAGGUGAUUUUAUUUUUGAAGACCCAGCAAAUGGCCGGGGAGGGUUGUCUUUCUUAUUUGUCCGUCGUGAUGGAUGACAAUGCAGAGACUCCUACCAUGAUUCAGUUUCGGUGGUAAGAAAAUUUUCAGAUGUGUUUCCUGCUGUCGAGCAUGUUUCUAGACAUGGUUGUCGAUUUAAGUAUUGAUUUGGUGUCAGACACCGUAUCAUAUGGAACCAGCGAAGUUAAAGGAUUUGAAGGAACAACUUCAGGAUCUCUUUGAUAAGGGGUUCAUUAGUAGACCUAUAUGGAGGUGUGUUCUACAUCGAGUUGGCUUGGUUGACUCCGAGUUGUAUUGUUAAGGGAUGUAUUGAUUCGAUUGUUAUUGAGCUUAUUAGUGAUAUGGGAAGAUAUAUUUGGGGUUAGUAAAAGGGGACGAGUUUUUUUCGUAUCAUCACGCAGCAAGAGUAAUAGUGCAUGACACGUUUACGUAGGGGUAUAUGGAUAUGCCCCAGCGUUGUUGUACAAGAGAGUUUUAU
rnacentral:lncRNA from 1 species